rnacentral:rRNA from 1 species
UUGCAUAUUCCAAUAGCGGAGGAAAAGAAACCAACAGGGAUUGCCUUAGUAACGGCGAGUGAAGCUGCGCAUAAUUCCAUCAGCGGAGGAAAAGAAACCAACAGGGAUUGCCUCAGUAACGGCGAGUGAAGCGGCAAAAGCUCAAAUUUGAAACCCUCGGGAUUCUAAUUUGAAGAUUUGGCAUUGGAGAAAGCUAACCCAAGUUGCUUGGAAUAGUACGUCAUAGAGGGUGACAACCCCGUCUGGCUAACCGUUCUCCAUGUAUUGCCUUAUCAAAGAGUCGAGUUGUUUGGGAAUGCAGCUCAAAGUGGGUGGUAAACUCCAUUUAAAGCUAAAUACUGGUGAGAGACCGAUAGCGAACAAGUACUGUGAAGGAAAGGUGAAAAAAACUUUGAAAAUAGAGUGAAAUAGUAUGUGAACUUGUCGAUAGGGAAGGAAAUGAGUGGAGAGUGGCCGAGGUUUCAUCCGCCCCUCGUGGGCGGUGUACUGCCGACACCGAGUCAUCGAUAGCGAGACGAGGGUUACMAAUGGGAGCGCCUUCGGGCGUUCUCCCCUAACCCUCCACACGCCACCACGG